UGCCUAUAAAAAGGGGUCACCUCUUCUUGGCAUCAUAACGUCCCUCUUGCUGGUUUUUAUUUUUUCAGAGCUCGUCUCCUCCUCCUCUUUUCCUCCUCUAGAUCUCUCUUGCUUUGGAGUGUCCAAGGUGCUUGAAGAAAAAGAAAGAGAUCAGCCAUCGAAGUUGCUUGCAGGCUAGCACCUCCAAGCCCCUAAUCUGCGCCAGUUUUUGUGUGGAUUUUUCUAUAGAGGCCAAAUGACUUCGUAUAGCUAUGAACGACCUGAGGAACAUCCUUUCCAAGUGUUGGAUCAGAAAAGAUCAAAAUCCAAUUGAUUUGGUAAUCAUCUCUAAUCUAUUUUGAUCAUACCAUUAGAUCCACAUAGUUAGAUCUAGGAUUUCAGCAUCGAUGAGAUCGAUGUGUAUUUUUAUUCUCAGAUCUAAAGUGCAUCAUAUUUCAUAUCUUUUUCAUGAUAUGAUAGUCUAGAUUAGAUCUUAUGCAUAUGAUUUAGAUUAAAUAGUUUAAUCUUAUUCUUCCGCUAUACAAAAAUUUUAAAAUUGCAUGCAUAGCACUACGUACGUUUCCUUCACAUUUAGCAUCUCAAACCAUCUCAAAAAAUUCUAAAAU
rnacentral:lncRNA from 1 species